rnacentral:rRNA from 1 species
UACGGAGGGGGCUAGCGUUGUUCGGAAUUACUGGGCGUAAAGCGCGCGUAGGCGGACCUGCAAGUCCGGUGUGAAAGUCACAGGCUCAACCUGUGAAUGCCGCUGGAAACUGUCUGGCUAGAGUCCGGAAGGGGCGAGUGGAAUUCCUGGUGUAGCGGUGAAAUGCGCAGAUAUCAGGAGGAACACCUAUGGCGAAGGCAGCUCGCUGGGACGGUACUGACGCUGAGGCGCGAAGCGUGGGGAGCGAACAGGA